rnacentral:rRNA from 1 species
GAUGAACGCUGGCGGCGUGCCUAAUACAUGCAAGUCGAGCGGACGGACCAUAAUCUUGCUUCUCUGAUGUUAGCGGCACACGUGUGAGUCACACGUGUAUACCCUCCCUAUCAGACUGGGAUCACUUCGGGAAUCCGGAUCUUAUCCCGGAUAAUCUUUUGAACCGCAUGGUUCAAUAGUAAAAGACGGUCUUGCUGUCACUUAUAGAUGGUUCCGCGCUUCAUUGGCUGGUUGGUAAGGUAACGGCUUUCCAAGGCAACGAUGCCUAGCCGACCUGAUAGGGUGGUCGGCCACACUGGAACUGAGACAGCGUCCAGACGCCUAAGGGAGGGAGCAGUAUGGAACGGUACGCAAUGGGCGAAAGCAUGACGGAGCAAGGCGACGCGAGUGAUGAAGGCCUUCGGAUCGGAAUAAUCUGUUAUGAGGGAAGAACAGAUGUGGAAGGAAAUGUGCACAGAUUGACGGUAAUGAAUCAGAAAGCAACGGCUAACUACGUG